rnacentral:rRNA from 2 species
GUCUUUUUGAAAAUAAAUUUAAAGUCUAACCUGCCCAUUGAUUUUUUAUUAAAAGGCCGCAGUAUUUUGACUGUGCAAAGGUAGCAUAAUCAUUAGUUUUUUAAUUAGAAGCUGGUAUGAAUGGUUGAACGAAAUAUUGACUGUCUUUGUUUAAUUUUAAUUGAAGUUUACAUUUAAAUUAAAAGGUUUAAAUUAAAUUAAAAGACGAGAAGACCCUAUAGAUCUUUAUAAAUAAUUAAAUUAAUUUUAUAUAUAAAAAUUUAUUAUUUAUUUAAUUGUUUAUUUUAUUGGGGUGAUAGAAAAAUUUAUUUAACUUUUUUUUUAAAAAACAUUUAUUUAUGGUUAAUUGAUCCUUUUUUAUUGAUUAAAAAAUUAAGUUACCUUAGGGAUAACAGCGUAAUUUUUUUUGAAAGUUCAAAUUUAUAAAAAAGAUUGCGACCUCGAUGUUGGAUUAAGAAAAUUUUUUAAUGCAGAAGUUUUAAUGGAUAGGUCUGUUCGACCUUUAAAUUCUU